rnacentral:tRNA from 1 species
AGGAACUUAGGAUAACACAGACCAAAAGCCUUCAAAGCUUUAAGUAGGAGUGAAAAUCUCCUAGUCCCUGCCACAAACCCC